AAAAAAAAAGAAAAAAGCGAUCAAACGAAAUAGAGAAACAAAAAAAGAUUGAGAAAAAAAAGGAAAAAAAUAAAAAUCAAGAAAAAAGUGAAGAAUUGAAAAAAUUGAGAAAAAUAAAAAUGAGAGGAAAAAUAAAAAUAAAGUUUGAGAAAAAUGAGGAAAAAAAAGUGAACUGAAAAAUGAAAAAAGUGAUCAAACAAAAUAGACAAAUAAAAAAUAAG
rnacentral:lncRNA from 1 species